AGAGUUUGAUCCUGGCUCAGAUUGAACGCCGGCGGAAUGCUUUACACAUGCAAGUCGAACGGCAGCACGGGGGCAACCCUGGUGGCGAGUGGCGAACGGGUGAGUAAUACAUCGGAACGUGCCCAGUCGUGGGGGAUAACGUAGCGAAAGCUACGCUAAUACCGCAUACGAUCUACGGAUGAAAGCGGGGGAUCGCAAGACCUCGCGCGAUUGGAGCGGCCGAUGGCAGAUUAGGUAGUUGGUGGGGUAAAGGCUCACCAACCCCGCGAUCUGUAGCUGGUCUGAGAGGACGACCAGCCACACUGGGACUGAGACACGGCCCAGACUCCUACGGGAGGCAGCAGUGGGGAAUUUUGGACAAUGGGCGCAAGCCUGAUCCAGCCAUUCCGCGUGCAGGAUGAAGGCCUUCGGGUUGUAAACUGCUUUUGUACGGAACGAAAAGGCUCCCUCUAAUACAGGGGGCUCAUGACG
rnacentral:rRNA from 1 species